AACUUUUUCUGUAGGGCUUUUUGCUUCUGCUCACUCACUCUUUUCUCAUCCAGAGAAGACAGAAGAGUCUGACCUCCUUUUAUGCAGUUUCCAGGGCAGAAGAGAGGACUGGAAAGUUCUGAUUUGUGGCAUUAAUAUAAAGAACACAGAGUGCAAAUAUAGCCAGACCAUAACCUGAUUUCCUUCCCAUCCUGCUUUGGGACUGCAAGCAAGUCAGACACCCAAGCAUUUGUAGCAAAAAAUUGAAAUUAAGGAGUGGUAGGAGAUGUUGCAGAGAGGCAUUUUGAUUUGGUUAUUAUCCUUGCUUGAAAGUAGAAAGGCAUCAGAGGAAAAUAAAAGAUAGGAAAAAGAGAAGGGAAUGAGCCAGCGAGAAAGAAAAGUGGGGCUGGAAAGAAUGUGGCUGCUCUGCCAGGUCAAAAGGAGAGUAUGACCCAAGCAGCCACAGCUGAAAAGGAAGGAAAGAAGGAGGAGGAAGGAUGUGGCCUAUUUUGAAAGCAGUUUGUUUCAUUUUUAAUUAAUAAGGCAUUUUGCCUUUCCCCAGAAAUCCUUAGCCUGUUAACAGUUAAUUGCCUCCUCUCUCCUCCUGCCUGCCAGGAGCAAACACCUUGAAAGGAAACAAUGCCAUUCACAAAUUAUUUUGAGGAAAUGUUUGUUUUUUGCUAGAGUGGUAGUCUAAUCCUGCUAAAUCUGUUUAUAAAACAGCUUACAGGCACAAACAAUGACAUAUCCUACAGGAACAAUAAACUUUACAUAAACUCCAGUGUUGAUUGCACCAUUCAUGAAAGCAAGAGGAACUAAUUUUUACCCUUUGGUUCCUUUCUGCCACAGCAAGCUGGUAUUUAUUUCCCAUCAUAAUUUAGGGUAUUCCACAGCAGCAAUCUGGCCAUUCAAGAAAUGUUGUGCUGCCCAGUUAAAGAACACGCAUAACACCAAAGAUCUCUGGCAUGGAAAGCCACCACAUAAGUGAUUUUCCAAGCUAAUAAAAGCCCUAAACCCCCCCAGCCUCGAGCCCAGCUGCACCCUGCUGUUAACCUGCCCUUUCCAUUUGGAAACCUUCCCGUGCUUUUCCACCCUGCCGGCAGAUUUUAAUACAACGUGUCAACUCUGCUCCUUUCUCUGCUGCUUAAACAUUGACCUUUCUGCUUCAGCGGUGCCAGAUUGUCCUUGAAAAGUUAAUUGAGGGCUGUCAGCAGCCUUGACCACCCCCGAGCACCACAGAGACAAAGGCCGGGGCACCAGGUUCCUGUGUGGUGUCCACAGUCCUCAUCUCCAGGGUGAGGAUGAAAGGGCUCGUUUUCACUGAUCCUCGUUUGACACUCCUGAGUGUUUAAAUAAUCAGAAGAAAAAACUACCAGAGCACUAGCAACGGAGCAGAAGGGAUGGAACCUUCCCCCUCUGAGAUUGCUGAGAAACUGCACCACAUUUGGCACAGGCUGCGAGGAACAUCAGCUGGGCUUUUUUUAAGAACAUCUCACAAGAACACAAGGGGAGGCUGUUUGGAGCCAAGUCCCCGAAGAUUCCAAGCCCAGCGGGCAGGACCAGCCGCUCCCCCAGCGCUACUCACGUGGUG